rnacentral:rRNA from 1 species
UACGGAGGGUGCGAGCGUUGUCCGGAAUCACUGGGCGUAAAGGGCGCGUAGGCGGCGCGGGCAGUCAACGGUGAAAGCUCGGGGCUCAACCCCGAGUCGGCCGUCGAUACUCCCGUGCUUGAGCACUGUAGAGGCAGGUGGAAUUCCGGGUGUAGCGGUGGAAUGCGUAGAGAUCCGGAAGAACACCGGUGGCGAAGGCGGCCCACUGGAUCGGUACUGACGCUGAGGUGCGAAAGCGUGGGGAGCAAACAGG